UACGAAGGGGACUAGCGUUGUUCGGAAUCACUGGGCGUAAAGCGCACGUAGGCGGAUUCGUAAGUCAGGGGUGAAAUCCCGGGGCUCAACCUCGGAACUGCCUUUGAUACUGCGGGUCUUGAGUCCGAUAGAGGUGGGUGGAAUUCCUAGUGUAGAGGUGAAAUUCGUAGAUAUUAGGAGGAACACCAGUGGCGAAGGCGGCUCACUGGUCCGGUACUGACGCUGAGGUGCGAAAGCGUGGGGAGCAAACAGG
rnacentral:rRNA from 1 species